rnacentral:rRNA from 1 species
CGGCAGGCUUAAUACAUGCAAGUCGUGGGGCAGCAUGAGUGUAGCAAUACAUUUGAUGGCGACCGGCAAACGGGUGCGGAACACGUACACAACCUUCCUUUAAGUGGAGAAUAGCCUAAGGAAACUUGGAUUAAUACUCCGUAAUAUUAUGAAGUGGCAUCACUUUAUAAUUAUAGCUCCGGCGCUUAAUGAUGGGUGUGCGGCUGAUUAGAUAGUUGGCGGGGUAACGGCCCACCAAGUCUGCGAUCAGUAACUGGUGUGAGAGCACGACCAGUCACACGGGCACUGAGACACGGGCCCGACUCCUACGGGAGGCAGCAGUAAGGAAUAUUGGUCAAUGGACGCAAGUCUGAACCAGCCAUGCCGCGUGGAGGAUGAAGGCCCUCUGGGUUGUAAACUUCUUUUAUCUGGGACGAAAAAGGGACUUUCUAGUUCAACUGACGGUACCAGAGGAAUAAGCACCGGCUAACUCCGUGCCAGCAGCCGCGGUAAUACGGAGGGUGCAAGCGUUAUCCGGAUUCACUGGGUUUAAAGGGUGCGU